CCUACGGGUGGCAGCAGUGGGGAAUAUUGCUCAAUGGGCGAAACCCUGAUGCAGCGACGCCGCGUGAGUGAAGAAGUAAUUCGUUAUGUAAAGCUCUAUCAGCAGGGAAGAAAAUGACGGUACCUGAGUAAGAAGCCCCGGCUAACUACGUGCCAGGAGCCGGGGGAAAACGUAGGGGGCAAGGGUGGUCCGGAAUUACUGGGUGUAAAGGGAGCGCAGGCGGGAAGCCAAGUCAGCUGUGAAAACUACGGGCUUAACUUGUAGCGUGCAGUUGAAACUGGUUGUCUUGAGUGAAGUAGAGGUAGGCGGAAUGCGGAGUGUAGCGGUGAAAUGCGUAGAUAUUGCGCAGAACACCGAUGGCGAAGGCAGCAAACUGGGGUCGAUCUGACGCUGAGGCACGAAAGUGUGGGUAGCGAACAGGAUUAGAUACCCGGGUAGUC
rnacentral:rRNA from 1 species